GUUGAAGUGGCCAAGAAGGAGUUCUUUACUCUUUUUCUUCCUUUGUUACGAGUACACAUAACAUGCAAAAACUUGGUUGGACGGAGAAACACAGCUAUUAUCCGUUUUCAAGUGAAUACCGGCUGUUUUAUUUAAAAUGGAAUGCCAUGAUCGCUUCCUUCUAAUGGACCAUUCACACGUACGACGUUACAUAAGACAAAAUGAGAAUUUACAACUCUGUAUAAUGAGCACUAACUUACAUUCGAACCUGAUGAUGACCAUACUAGGCUGAAACACGUCGUUCAACAAAAAUAAACUAAUGAACAGUGACUGAGAAUUAUCAUCAAGAAUCAACAGAGCACGCCGCGGGACUACAUUGCAGGACCCUGAUCAAAUUUCAGUUUUCAGUCAGUGUUUUUCACUGACAGUCUCCGCGGGUGACGAUGGAUAACGAGGACAGACAGAGAAAGGAAGACUGCAAUUGGGCCAUCGUCCUCCCGCUCCAUUCCUGAGUAUGAUAGGCCACCCGUCGCAUUGUGUUAGGGAGAAUGAAAUUAAAGCCCCGGUGAUCUGUAAUAUGCGGGGGUGAAUAUCUGGUCGCUCAUGCGAGAUCAUAUGCCGGGAAAAUUCGUUUUCAGGUCGGAUGGGAAACUGAUUAGCCGUUCCACGGCACAAGAGACGCACAUCUGGCAACCCUGUGAAGGUCCCAUAUGGAACAUUCAGAGAACUAAUUCCAUGUACAGAGAAUCGGACAAUACCAUCAGAACAGUGUGAUUAAAAAUAUAAAACUUUA